ensembl:lncRNA
CGCGUAUAUCAGCAGGUCAUGAAGGGGGCGGGACUUCCUGUUGUGCACUCGGUUUUCUUCACGGCCUCUCGGAUUGAAGGGCACUGGUUCAGUGGAAGAAGAGGUUCAUUCUGCACAGUGAAGAAGUGUGUCUUGGCCACAUACGCCAGCAUCGCCGCCAUUAUCCUGUUCUUCAAACUGAAGCCCAAGAAGAAGGCUGUAACGGCGAGCUAAUGUAUUAUAAGGUUUUGUGAUUUUUUGCUGUACAGGAUGAAGAUUCGGUAACCAGUUGUCUUGAGUCACAAUGUUAAAAAUAAAGUGUACCAAACUCCAAUACAUAGAAAAGAUGUUUUAUUUACACAAUUAUAAAAGACUGUACAGUUCAGGAGGCUGGGGCCACAAACCUGUAUGGCAGCUAUGUGAAAAAUAAUUAACUAAGUAUCAGUAUCUUGUUACUGAUACAAAUACACACAUGGUUAAGUCCAGAAGGUUCAGUUGCUUCACUGUAAU